ACAACAUCUAUUGAUGUAAAUGCAUUUAAAUUCAUAUAUUGAAUAGUUGAAUAUGAUAAUAUAUACGUUUUUGCUUUUUCCUUUUCAGUGUUUUAUUUAGCUUCAUAUUAUAUCUUAACUAAAUAUUAGUUUUGACUACAAUUUUCAUUUAUGCGGAGUGCGAACUGUUUUGGGAUGCAAGCAAACAGACAAUGUUGAACAUUGAGAAUUACAGCGAUGGAGCAGGGAAGGCGAUUUGGUGGCUAUUAAAUUAAGAAUUCAGUUAGGCCAUACUAUAAUAUAAGAUUAAUGACUGUGCCUCUGUGGUAAAUCAAAGACAUUGACGAAGGUCCCAUUUUGCAUGUCCAGACGACCAUACUGUUUUACAGGCCCUAGUGCAAAUGGAAGAUAAUGAAUCAAACGAAAAUUGGAAGUAUGCAAUGGAGAAAUGAAAGACGACUGGUUGAAAUUUUAAAGAACCCAUCAGUUUGCACGGGGACCUGCAUGGGCGAAUUUAAAGAUAAACCACAAGGAACGGCUAUCAAUGGCAACUGGAAUGGCGGUGCCUGUGUUGAUUUAAGACUGAAGAGAAAUGUCCAAUAUAAGAGUUUGGUACUGGUUCAUAUGAGGAAUGACUAUAAUCAUCAAUCUGAUCAUGUGUCUGCUGUUCGACUUGCAGAGCUUUAAGACUAUGAAAGUGAGGAUAUCGAGACGGCACUUUCGGACGGAAUUAAUACCAUUAUCAGGUGACGGUCUCAGAUCGGAAAGCUCCAUUUCUUCAUUAGAUUCUGUAAAAGGAAUAGCAGCAUGAGAUGUGAAAUUACGGAUUUGUGUUGUAGAAAGUAAAAUAGUAAGUGGUGGCUUUAUUUUUUGGCAUGCCGGGCUUUCGUGCAAUUAUCAAAAAUAUAUAUUGAUGUUUCUCCAUAGCCUACCCUUGAUUACAGUAAAAUUCUUGCCACUUGGGGUUCAAAUGUUUUCCAAUAUUCCCUUUGAACGUCGUGCUAAGUUAAUGCUCAUGGUAAAAAAACCAUGUGAAAAGCACCACUUAUGACGCUAAUUUUAUGUGUUUGUUUUGUUAUGUCGUUAUGUGUACAAUAAACAACAGAAAAUUUGGGA